rnacentral:rRNA from 1 species
GGGGAAUCUUAGACAAUGGGCGCAAGCCUGAUCUAGCCAUGCCGCGUGAGCGAUGAAGGCCUUAGGGUUGUAAAGCUCUUUCGCUGGGGAAGAUAAUGACUGUACCCAGUAAAGAAGCCCCGGCUAACUCCGUGCCAGCAGCCGCGGUAAUACGGAGGGGGCUAGCGUUAUUCGGAAUUACUGGGCGUAAAGCGCACGUAGGCGGACUGGAAAGUUGGGGGUGAAAUCCCGGGGCUCAACCUCGGAACUGCCUUCAAAACUCCCAGUCUUGAGUUCGAGAGAGGUGAGUGGAAUUCCGAGUGUAGAGGUGAAAUUCGUAGAUAUUCGGAGGAACACCAGUGGCGAAGGCGGCUCACUGGCUCGAUACUGACGCUGAGGUGCGAAAGCGUGGGGAGCAAAC